CAUAAGAUGUGGGCUGUCAAUUAAAGCGACGCUGUGAUGUUAUAGCAGAAUGCGUGUCACAAGCCGGAGGAUCCUAAAUUGACAACAGUCGUCCUUAUUAGGUCAUUUGUGUCAGGUCAUCGUAAAAAAAAACCCACACAGUUAAGUUCUUACCGUGGCAAUGCACAUGAAGUGGUUCUCCCCUCUAUUUCGUUGUGGUUGUUCCUCUCGGUGUAAUGAUAAGAGUGGCUAGUAGUGGUAACUUCUCCGCCUAUCUCCCUCAGUGAAGCUUCCUCUUUCCAGCCGCUAGAUCCUCCCACUGUGCGUUUCACGCUGGAUAAGGAAUGACAGCAUCCUUUCAAACAAGUUCUUUCUCGUUUGACUUUGGCUCAGGAGCUAUGUAGUACAAUGUAAACAGCACCUCUCUCUCUUUCUGUCCAGUCAAACCCCUCCUCCAACACCCCCCUGCUCUCCUUUCUCUCUGGAUUCUUGCAGCAUUCUUCAUUCAAUGACAUCAACCCUCUUCUAGCCUCUCCUUGUAAGGUCAGAAGAGUGAGGGAAUGAAGAACAGAGCGAGAGGGAGGGAGAGAUCAUGGGCAAAAGAGGCUUGAUUAGGACAACAGAUGGAAUCAGAGUCACAGUCCAGCCUUUCGCCUGGUCGUCAGGCUACCAUGACAACCAAGCUUCCGUAUCCUGUGACGUCACCUCCAUUGCCCUUUACAGUGGCUAGCAGUGGGCAGUCAGAAAGUGUUUUUCCGGAUGUAAGAAACAUGUAUCUAAACCGGAGUAAUGGGCGUCACACACGGGAGGCAACAAAUUCAUCGCCAUCGCCAUCGCCAUCGCCAUCGCGAAACCAUGCACACGGGGGGUGACAAGCGAUUGUGACCAUCUCCACAGCUGCAAGCAUCGUCAUGGUGACAGAAGUUCUGAGAGUUAGGAUCGGGCAGGGAGAAGGCAGCUGUGGGGUCCAGCCAGUGUGGAGGGGUCAGGACUGAUGCACCACAGGCAACCAGACAUACAGUAAAUGCCUUGAGGGAGAAGUCUCCCCAGAUUCCCUCUCUGACAGCAAGUACAUCUGCAUCAGUUAGAAAUAAGAUAAAAGACUGAGAUGAAGUGGAGCCAAUGAGGUACUGACACAGCUGAUAAAGACAAAGAUGGAUAGCAGUGAGGAUAAGGGGCAGCAAAAACAAGCCUUGAAGAGACUCGCAUAGGUGGCCGUCUAGACGAGGACAUUUGGGGCAAGAGGGAAGGGUGGGUAAUUUCAGGAGAGGAGGACGGAGAA